CGUGUGGGCGCGUUUGUGCAGGGCCAACGUUGUCUCCUUGCGUGCAUAUGUCACGUUGGACAUUCCCCUUGGACAACCAGGCGUUCUUCUUCCUUUUUGCUGCUCUCUCGCAGAAGUGCUCAUCGAGAGCAGUUUACGAUUCCAUUUCUCACGCACGCAUACACAAGCACCCGUCUCGUCUGUGAGGCUACGGCACCGUUCUGAAAAAGAAAAGGCUCUAAACGAAAAGCUGACGGCGACACGCAAUCAUCGGCGUCAGGGCACAGGCUGCCCCUUAUUCUUUGUUUUUUUUUUUUCCUGUUGACGUGUCGUGCAUGUCCGCCGACGCCGGGCACGACGUGCACCGCGCCUAUGACGUCCUACGCGGCAUCCGCCGUGUCAGGACGACGGCGCAGCUGCAGGAGGCCUACGAUGGGUUGCUAGCACUUGUGAGGACAACGCAUAAGCUGGUGGAGGCGCAGGCGGCGAAAAGUGUCGCGCCCGGCACGAAGGACACUUGUGAAACGUAUCUGCAAGUGCCAUCGAACCCCUCAGCUGAGGCGCAGGCGGCCAUGUCGCAGCUGAAGCAAGUUUCUCUCUUGUGCGGGGCCUUUUGUCGUCGUGUAGAGCACGUGCUUCGCACCACCUACACCUACGCGGACGUCGAUGAUGCCAGUCAUGGCGGUCUCGCCACGGUGCACGUAAGCGCGUACAUGGCCCAGCUCACCAAGGAGCUACAGCGCUUCAACACUCCAGCUGUCAAUCGCUUUUUGGCGGCGGCGACCAAUACGGACACCCUGUCGACGCCGAUCUUGCAUGUCUCCUCAGUGGACUGUGUCCUAUCCUACGGCAUCGGCGCUCUAUGCGACUACCGCUUGUGCCGUCGCAAGCGUGCACAGGCAUAUCUUCAGCAGCUACUGGCGCAACCCCAAUGGAACGCGGCUGCCAUCACUCAAGUCAUCGUCUCAUUGAAUGAAACGCUCUCCACGCCCGUGGACCCCUUUGCGGUGUGCACGAGCGACGAGUCGGUUGAGACAACGUGCGUGGUGACGCCCUUGCGCGACCCCAUUUCGCAAACUGUCAUUCGAAUUCCGGCGCGAGGGGAGAAGUGCGCGCACCUGGAGUUGUUCGACGUGGAGAGCUUCGUGCAGGCUACGCAACAGCGCUCCUUCAAUACUGUCGACGUUGGUGCCCCGUGUCCGCUCUGCUCACGGACGGUGCACCUGUUGUCGAUACGCGUAGACACGCGGGCCUUGGAGGCGAUGCGCAGCUAUGAAAGAGCUGCAGCUGCAGCUGGGUCGUUGUCUUCGUCGUCUGAUGCGCCGCCGCCCCUCACUGCUGACUGUGCCCUGGAGUGGAACACAGAUAGUCGAACAGUCACGGUGGUUCGUGGCAGACGCGGCGCAUCGGCCGAGGAAAGCGCGGUAGGCGAAGAUCAGGAGGAGCCAGCGACGCCGUCUCGAGGGCCGCGUGACGAUGCACCAGGCACGGCCACCAAGAAACGAAGGAUCGAGAUUGGCGGCCACGUGCUGUACGCCGACUAGAGGGACGGUGCCGAUGUGUGUCUGCGUCGGUUGGUGAGGCGCCUGUUGUAUGGCUGGCUCAAGUGUCUGCCUUUUUGUCUGCAUGUUUUUUUUUUUUUCAUGCCCAGUCCCUCCUCGCCUGCUUUGUGUACUCGUGUGGGUGCGGGCGCGUAUGGCGCGCGAAAACACAGGAGAUGAUCGCCAAUGAAGUUGCACAAGCUCGCAUUACACACACUGCGACUCGAAGAACAAGUGAGAUACCGUCUUUUGUCGACUGCUCCAACCACCGUGCCUGCAUCGGAGCACAACGCACUGCUGUGAGUACGUGCGAGUGAGACAGAAAGCGGGAUAAGAG
rnacentral:misc_RNA from 1 species